rnacentral:pre_miRNA from 1 species
AAUAGAUGACGCCGUUAACUUUUUCUCACAUGUUUGACCAUUCGUCUUAUUCAAAAAUUUUAUAUAAAUGUAUAAGAUAUAAAUCACACUUAAAGUACUAUGAGUGAUAAAAGAACUCAUAACAAAAUAAAUUAUAAUUACGUAAUUUUUUUGAAUAAGACGAAUGGUCAAACAUGUGAGAAAAAGUCAACGGCGUCAUCUAUU